rnacentral:rRNA from 1 species
UACGAAGGGGGCAAGCGUUGUUCGGAAUUAUUGGGCGUAAAGGGAGCGUAGGCGGUUCGGCAAGUCUUUUGUGAAAUCUCUGGGCUCAACCCAGAGUCUGCAAGGGAAACUGCCGGGCUGGAGUAUGGGAGAGGUGAGUGGAAUUCCCGGUGUAGCGGUGAAAUGCGUAGAUAUCAGGAGGAACACCGGUGGUGUAGACGGCUCACUGGACCGUAACUGACGCUGAGACACGAAAGCGUGGGUAGCAAACAGG